rnacentral:rRNA from 1 species
AUUGAACGCUGGCGGCAGGCUUAACACAUGCAAGUCGAGCGGAGCGAGGGUGCUUGCACCUUAGCUUAGCGGCGGACGGGUGAGUAAUGCUUAGGAAUCUGCCUAUUAGUGGGGGACAACAUUCCGAAAGGAAUGCUAAUACCGCAUACGCCCUACGGGGGAAAGCAGGGGAUCUUCGGACCUUGCGCUAAUAGAUGAGCCUAAGUCGGGUUAGCUAGUUGGUGGGGUAAAGGCCUACCAAGGCGACGAUCUGUAGCGGGUCUGAGAGGAUGAGCCGCCACACUGGGACUGAGACACGGCCCAGACUCCUACGGGAGGCAGCAGUGGGGAAUGUUGGACAAUGGGCGGAAGCCUGAUCCAGCCAUGCCGCGUGUGUGAAGAAGGCCUUUUGGUUGUAAAGCACUUUAAGCGAGGAGGAGGCUACUUAGAUUAAUACUCUGGGAUAGUGGACGUUUCUCGCAGAAUAAGCACCGGCUAACUCUGUGCCAGCCGCCGCAGUAAAAC